CAGGUGCCACAGCCCAUCGGGGUUUUGGGGUCUCAGGGGGGCUGUGCUGACCCCAAGCGCUCUCGGGUGCAGGUGCCACAGCCCGCGGGGGUCCGGGGUGCCCAGCCGGGUGCUGGGGCUGGAGCUGCACCUGCCGGGCCAGGAGCUGAUCGUGGCCUUCGCCGGGUGCCUCCUGCGGCUGCCCCUGAGCCGCUGCGGCCGCCACGGCUCCUGCCGAGGGUGAGCGGGGCCGGGAGGGAUGGAAAAGGGGGCCGGAGGGAACGGGGAUGUGCAAAUUGGGGAUGGGAAUGUGCAAGGGAAUGAGUGUGCAAUGCACAGGGACACAAGGAUGUGCAAGGUCAUGGAAGGGCACGAGGGCAGGGGAGGGGACACGGGCACACACGGGCACAGGACAUGGAUGGCAGCUGUGUCCCCGUGUCCCCGCAGGAGCUGCCUGGCUGCCCGAGACCCCUAUUGUGUCUGGCUGCCCUCCAGGGGCUGCGUCCCCUUCUCCGAGGACCUUCCGAGUGGCUUCCAGCAGGACAUGGAGGGAUCGCUCGGGAUCAGCGGGACCUGCCAAGGGCCUACAAGGGUUGGUGACGAGGAUGGAGACCUGGCCCACGGAGUGCGGCACCCCGGGCCCGGUGCCGAAGCGACGGUUCCGGUGCCGGUGCUCGUGGGCUGCGUGCUGGGCGCCUUCGCCGUGGGCGCCCUGGCCACCGGGCUGCUGGCCACCUGCUGCCAGCGCCCCGCCGUCCCCAAAGCGCCCCCGGAUCCUCCCUGCGCCCCCCGGAGCCCGAGCCAGCCGCCCGUGCCCCGCCUGUACCCCGCGCUGCCGCCGCAGGACGGGAGCGGCCCCGGCCCCGAGCCCGAGCCCCCCGCGCUGCCCCCGGCCCGCGCCCCCCGGGAGCGGGAGCCCCGGCGCGGCCCCGCGGAGCCCCCCGGGCCGGGCCCGCCGGGCAGGGCGGUUCGCGAGGAGACGCUGCAGCGGCUGCCCGGGGGCUCGGCGUGGCCCGGGACCCCCCCGGGCAGCGGCUCCUUCGCCAACCGGGUGCUGCCCCGCGGCCCCGCGGCCCCGUUGGGCCCCCACGACCGCGCCCCGGUGCGCCUGGACGUGCCCCCCGACAGCCCCCCGGCCCCGCGGCGGCCGCUGGCGCAGAGCUACUCGCUGGGGGGGACCCCCGUGAGCCCCCCCGGGCCGCCGCGGGGCCUCACCCGCAUGCACUCGCUGGGGACACCGGGGGGGACACCCUGGGGACCCCGGCCCGGAGCCCUGGAGCGCUCGGUGUCCAUGAAACCCCCCCUGCUCCCCAAACCGCUGCUGCUGCCCGCGGCACCGGGGCGGCCCUGA
rnacentral:lncRNA from 1 species